GGCGGGGCCGGGCACGUGUGCGGGCCCGGGCUCGGUGACUCAUGAGGCGCCGGCCGCUCCGCCGCGGGGAGGAUGAGGGAGGGCGGCCCCGGGGGAGGGCAGCCCGCCGCGCCGCCGCCCCGCUCCGCGCCUUCCCCUCGCUCCCGCCGUGCCCGGAGCGCGGAGGCCGCGCCGGGAUUAGGUUGGUACUAAGAAGUGCCUUUCCUGACGUCGCUGCUGCUUGGGACCGCUUCUAGAGCAGCCGCUGCUUUUGCCUUGCUUGCUGCCAGCUAGACUGCGACGACAGCGCUCCGCCGCUGCCAGCCCCGCGCCCGCCGGGAGGAGGGUCCGGCGCUGCUCCCCCGCCGCCGCUGCACUGUGCACUAAAGGGUGCCCCGAAGGUCAGAGCUCUGCUGCCCGAAAGCCGAGGAGAGGAGGAGAAAAACCCCAGCCCAAACCCGGUGUCGGUCGUUGCUCUAAACUGCUGCAUCUGUCUAUGCCAAACUAAUCGAUCCCGAUUGCACCGCAGAGCCCGCUGCGAGCCCGCUGCCUGGAGGCACCUGCCCGCCGCCGUCCCCGGGAGCAGCUCGGACCUGCUGCCGGAGCCGCCACGUUCCCAUGCUUGCAGACGGGAUGCUGAGCGCGCAGGGCUAGCCCCGGCCACGCUCCGCAGGUCCGGCCUGCCCCGACCGCUAACCGUGCCACGCUCUCAACUCUGUGACACAGCUCUUCCUGGGGAUUGCAGCCACCCAGUUUUACUCGUACUUAUUUUAAAAUAGGGAGCGGGGGAAAAAAGUGUUCUGGAGGUGGCACUUCCAUCGUUUCCAGUUUAUCAGUUCAGCUACUCGUUUGCCCAUUUUUAUUGGAAAUUUUAACUACCUGUAAAAUCUAAAGAUGGCUGUUAGUGUCACACCGAUCCGGGACACAAAAUGGCUAACGCUGGAAGUGUGUAGGGAGUUCCAAAGGGGGACUUGCUCACGACCAGACACGGAAUGUAAAUUUGCACACCCGUCGAAAAGCUGCCAAGUUGAAAACGGACGCGUAAUCGCCUGCUUUGACUCAUUGAAAGGUCGAUGUUCAAGGGAAAACUGCAAAUACCUUCACCCACCACCGCACUUGAAAACGCAGCUGGAGAUCAAUGGGCGCAAUAACCUGAUCCAGCAGAAGAACAUGGCCAUGCUGGCCCAGCAGAUGCAGCUGGCCAAUGCCAUGAUGCCCGGAGCCCCGCUGCAGCCCGUGCCGAUGUUUUCUGUUGCACCGAGCUUAGCCACCAACGCGUCAGCUGCCUUCAACCCCUACCUGGGGCCCGUGUCCCCGGGCCUGGUCCCCGCAGAGAUCCUGCCCACGGCGCCCAUGCUGGUGACAGGGAACCCCGGGGUGCCCGUGCCCGCCGCCGCCGCCGCCGCCGCCCAGAAGCUGAUGAGGACAGACAGGCUGGAGGUAUGUCGAGAGUACCAGCGUGGGAACUGCAACAGGGGAGAGAACGACUGCCGCUUCGCCCACCCCGCCGACAGCGCCAUGAUCGACACCAACGACAACACCGUCACCGUCUGCAUGGAUUACAUCAAAGGGAGGUGCUCCCGGGAAAAGUGCAAAUAUUUUCACCCUCCUGCACACCUGCAAGCCAAGAUCAAGGCUGCCCAGUACCAGGUUAACCAAGCUGCAGCUGCCCAAGCAGCAGCGACUGCAGCUGCCAUGACUCAGUCGGCUGUCAAAUCACUGAAGCGACCCCUCGAGGCAACCUUUGACCUGGGAAUUCCUCAAGCUGUACUUCCCCCCUUACCAAAGAGGCCUGCGCUUGAAAAAACCAAUGGUGCCACCGCAGUCUUUAACACUGGUAUCUUCCAAUACCAGCAAGCUCUUGCCAACAUGCAAUUACAGCAGCAUACAGCCUUUCUCCCACCAGGCUCAAUAUUGUGCAUGACACCCGCUACAAGUGUUGUUCCCAUGGUGCACGGUGCUACGCCAGCCACUGUGUCUGCAGCAACAACAUCUGCCACAAGUGUUCCCUUCGCUGCAACAGCCACAGCCAACCAGGAAUAUGAGAGUAAUGCUUCACCACGUAAGUGAUUAGGAGUCCUCCCAGGAAAGCCAGAACCAAUGCUCUAAAGAUGAGUCCCUGGGCCAGAGGAGUGGCUGGAGCUGCACCUGAGCACAGCACACUGUCAGAAGGGCAGAUUUCUGUACAACAACUGGCUGAAAGUGCAACAAUAAAAACAUUUUAAAGAGCCUCCUGUUCCUCUUCUAAAAGCAAAUUAUUUUUUGGGAUUUACUGGGCAGUUAGCUGUCCCUGCCAUGGAGCCACCAGUCCUGGUCUGAUAUGCAGGACUUGCUUCCAGCUCAGUGGGAUCACGUGUGUGCCCCUUAGAAAAGGGAGCUCCGGGUCCUCCUCAGCGUUGUGCAGGUGUGGUCCUGUGUGUGGGACGAGCUGUGCAGGUAAAUGUCAUUGUCAGGGCAGCUUCCCUGGGGCACUCAGCCCCUGCCUCAGGACAGGUGACUCCUCAGGACACCCAGGGCUGCAGGUGACCCCCAGGGCCUUCGGCUCUGAGCCUUUGCACCUUCACCUGCUGAGCACCAUUUUGUGCUGCCCCAGCUGUACGUCCCUCGUUAACCUGUCUGCUUCCUCAUCUCUCAAAAUUACAAUUCCCAAAUGGCAUAUUGCAGUGACACCUAGGCCUACACGUCCCAAGCCUCCAAAGGGACCUGGAUAUUGCAGAAUUCCAAAAACAACCCAGAUUAGUCUGCCCAGCAGCUAGCACAUUCUUCUCUUGAGAAAUGUUUGCUGAAUGAACAGCUCACUUUAAAUUUGGCCUAAAAAAUUGUGUUUUGAAAAGCUAGUUCAUAGGCAGGGCUACCUCUGCAUAUGUGCCAGCUCAGCAAGCAACCUCCUGUAUGCCCAAAGUCUCUUGCUAUUGCAGUUUAUUGCACCAGACAGUUCAUUUCAGUGUGUCUGUGUAUCCUGUGCAUGUCCUGAGGGUUGUGAGGACAAGACAAGCCACGGAAAAAGCCACUAUUUUAAAAUCAUCUCUCUGUUAGUAACCGUGCACUUCCCAGGUAGAUCACAGGGAAAACCUGCUGCUGUAGAAUCUGGUCAUUUCAUGCCUUUCCUCCCCAGAGCCUCAUAACACACUUAGUGCAGUUCUGCAGCCAAACCUCCAUAUAUACAUAUAUAGCCAUAUAUAGCCAUAUAUGUAUAUGCCAUGUGAGCAAUGCUGAAGGUAUUUAAUGCCCCUGAUGCCGUGUGCCUGCAUGCCAAAGGCUCAAGGUCUGGCCCUUCACCUUCCCGGGCUGGUGUUGGAGCUCCUUGGUGCGUUCGCCAGCCCUGCCCCUGGUGCUGCUCCAGUCGGGUGCCACAGCCUGCCCUGCAGCAGCAGGAAAACAUGAUACCCAUAAUAUCUGCCGAACAUCUGACUAGCCACAAGUAUGUUACACAGAUGUAGACAUUUGGUCAUCAAACAAUGGUGUUGGAGGCGAAGAGGCCGGAUUGGGAGGGCAGAGGCCGAGCUCCUAGCCAUAGUGUAUGUAAAUACUGUCCAGCAGCACGGGAACCCCUCAGCAGUGACAUCACACAUUGCAUGUUAACGAGACGAGGCGAGGCCGUGGGACUCCACUGACACUGUUGCCUAUCUCCUGUGUACAUUGAAUUGGUAUUUGUGCUGAGGUGAUGUUGUUGUCCGAGCCCGCAGCACCGCCCGCCCCUCCCGCUGCGCAGCCGGGGGGGCCGGCGCUGCUGCGGCCACAGUUACUAUGUAUUGGUACGUCUGUAGACCAAGAUAUAAUUUUUUAAAGUAAGUUUAUUUCUUUCAAGGUUUACAAAUAACAAAGGUGCACCUUGUAUUUAAAAUUGCCAUUAUAGACGAGAGCGUGCAUGCACAGUAAUUUUUGUUUAAGAGUAAUAUUUUUAAUGUAAUAGAUUGUAAGAAAUGAGAAGAGAGGAAUCUGACAGAGAUGAAUGUGCCAAGCAAAACCACAACUGUGUAUAUUUUAAAGCACAUCAAUGGCUUUAAGUACCACGUUGUUAAGGAUUCUCAUGAAGUGCCAUAGACUGUACAUCCAUCAGAGUAUUAUUUCCGCAGUGUUAUUUUCAGAACCACGUUUUCACUGACUCGAUGAGUACUGAUCAGUCGAAGGGCACCGUUCUGUUUCAAACCAAAGCUGUCUCAGAAAUGGCCGAUUGCUCCUCAGCCGGCGGGCAGCACCAGAGAUGCUCCAGCUGUGCAGAACCUGAUGGACAAUGUUAUCUACCACGCUCCCGAGGCGUUGUGUGUCACAUUUAUGCACAUUUGCUGUGUAAGGCGAGCUGCAAAAGGGAAAAGCCAUUUCUGAGACACAGUAACAAAUGUUUGAGGAACUUCUUUUGCUCUAUUUAUAGCCUCUGUCGCCAGUCACAAGGACUAUAAAUGUUUUGCAGAGAUGGGUUUCACUUUAAUUCAUCAAGUCCCGCGUCCGCGGUGACUCUAAACAAAGACGCAGAAGCACUGACAGCAGAUGCAUGACAAACCAAAAUAGGACAAAUGAAACGUUAAUUAGUGUAGAAAUUGGGUGGGUUAAUACUCGGGUGAGUUUUAUAUGUGAUUUUUUUUGUUCAGAUUAACUGCUUAUAGCCUUAGAAAGCCUUUACAAAAUAAAAACAAACAAAUAGAUGUGCAUUCAAGUUUUAAGAAUGGAUUCAUCCAAAGGAAUUCCUUUUUGUGGUUUGGAUGUUGCAGCCAGUAAAGGAUAUUUUUGCUCUGUUCAGCCAGGGGCUGCCUGGGGCCAGGCCCCGGGCGGGCAGGAGGGAGAGGCGCGGGUUCGGUUGUAGAACUCGCCGUACUCCGAGUUUACCGCGAGUUUUUAUGCUUGAGAGAGAUGCUUUAUAGAUAAGAAUGAUGUGUUGAUUUUCCUGAUUGUACUGUACAUCUAUUAAAGCCUUAGAUUAUUACAUUACGGGUUAAAACCCAUACCAAUGUAAUUUCAAUCGUGUUAAGAAAGUAUAGGUGACUUCACAUGUUAUUGUAGUGACUUACCAUAGAAAAUUUACUUAUUUUUUUUCUUGUUAAAAGUGUAGUUUUUAUUUCUUACAUUUAUUAGCUCAUUUUCAUUUUCUAUUACCAGUUGAUACCAUUUCAGUUCAUAGAGUUUUGUUUUAUUAGAGUUUACUGAUGACUUUUUCAAAAUACAAAAAAAAAAAAAAGUAGUUUUCUUCAUAACAUACUCAGUUUGGAAUCUACAUGUAGUGUCUUAUGAGUAUUCGUAUUAUUGUUAACUAAAUGAUUUCUAUUUUACUGAUCUAAUAUGACAAUGUAAGAAUGUCAGUCAUUGUUAGUUCUUGUCUAGUUUUCAUUAAAAGAACAAAGAUCUUUUAUAUGGAUAUCUUAUAAUUAUAUAAUCAUUGCUAAGUAAGAAGUUAAGUUGUUGCUAUGGCAACAAUCCUGGCAGACAAUUGAGUAAUAUUUUGAUGAUUUAUUUUGUUUGUAAUUAGUUAUUAUGAGAAAAAAAAUCUAGUUCCUAGAUAUUAGAAUAAAAUUUAUUUUCUACUGUAUCCAUUUCAAAUGUUAAAAUAUUGUUUAAAUAUUUUUUGAAAUCCCUGAAUAUCAGGCCUUGUUAUAAAUAAGCUGCAUAAUCAAUAGAUCAAGGGACUUUUUGUUGAUAAUCCAAAUACUCAAAGUUUACGUAACAAGAAUUUUAGUGUGUGUGUGCAAACUCUUGAGGGUUGAUUAUGCUGCAGUUGGGACGUCGAGAGCGAAGGUUGACUUUUUGCACUUCUGUAUAUAGUCAAAAAAGAGAGAAACCUGUAUAAUAGUAAGAUCUUAUUUUGAAUAAAAAUGUCUAUAAUUACAAGGAGUUUUGUUAAGGCUAAAUAAAAUGACAGGCUGAACAAAAUUGCUUGCAAAAGUGGCACAGAGUUAGCACUCCAUCCCCCUUCCAAAAAGUUGCUUUGCUUUAUGUGGACAGCUUGUAGUUUGCCAGGAUUUUUUCAGCUGGAAAGAUCUGCCAUCCUUCCGAGAUCUCAUGACUGACAGAAGCUCCACUGGGUCAAAUCUGCCUGAAAAUCAUUAAGAAAAAAAAAAAGGAAAAAAAAAAAAAAAAGAAAAAAAAAGCAGGUACUUCAGCCCAUCCAGGGAAUCAUGGCUCAGAUAUUCCGUACAUUAUUCAAAAUCUACUGCAUGUUUAAAGUAUCAAAAUAUAUUAAAGAUAUAUGCUAUUCAAACCAGUUUCUGACAAUUUCAGUGGUUUCUUGUUCACAAAAAAAGAUUCUUCAAAACAAAUACCGACGUUCACAGAGUUCAACCAUGGACAGGCAAACGGAACAGCACCCGUAGCUGUAGGGUCGGGGAUUUUUUUCUUGCUGUAGUGGUCCUGUUCUUUUAGCAGGUGAAAACCAGCCUGGGAGCUCCUCCCUUUUCCUGGGAGCGUUGCAGGAGCCUGGAGAUGCUGAGGCUGCCAGGGCGGGAGCAGCGUGGGGGCUCUGAGCAGCGGCAGCAGCGCUGCAGCCCCCGCCCCACCUGCCCCAAGGACGGGCGCCUCGGGUUUGCUCCUGCGUAACCACAGACUUACUUUGGCUUGUAGUUGCUCCAGUUACGUACUCUGUCCUGGGCUGCAGUUUGGGUUUAUGCUUAUUUUAUUAUUACUGCUAUAGUUGACCUUGCUGUAUGGAAAAAAUAAAGUGAAAUUGCCCUAAUAAAAGUUCUCUUUCUUAA